AUUUAUUAUCGAUGUCCCCGUCCUGCAGUUAACCCCUGUUUCCACAAGGAGCACAUCCAUACAUCCAUGACACUCGUACCAGGGCUGACACACAUUUGUCGACCCCAUUCUUGCCGUCAGAGUGGUUGUGCGAUCCACGUGGUGAGCACCAGCACCCCAGUGACCAGACACUUUGCCAAGUAGUGCACGUCCUUGCAGAGCUAGUGUCCUAGCGGUCAUUUGUCCACGGUAUGGGCCACGAUGAAGGUGCCUAAAUCCCAGGGUGCUCUGAGAAUACCAGUCUCGUGCAUCAAAGGAAAGCUGUCCAUGUCAGGACCAUUUACAGGUGAAAGGUGAAGCUUGACAUGCUUGUUAAGAAUUCAAAAAUCAGGAAAGAAGAAAUGCAUAUAUUCUUUCUCUAAUAAGAGAGAGGGACCACGCUUGUCAGAUUAUUACCUGUGCAUUUGAGAAGUGUCAGACCUCCAAGCUGCUGGCACCUGAAGGAUCACCAGAGAGCCAGACACAGGACCUUGGGUUAAAGAUGUGAAUAAUGUCCUGCAAACUUCCAGCCCCAAGGGAUGAGAAGUCUGACAUCAUAAAAAUUAAUCAGAGAAAAUGGAUGCAGUAAAAGGCCAAGUUGAA